rnacentral:rRNA from 1 species
GGGAUUGGGGGAGCCUUACACAUGCAAGUACGGAGCGGUAACAGGAGAAGCUUGCUUCUCGCUGACGAGCGGCGGACGGGUGAGUAAUACUUAGGAAUCUACCUAGUAGUGGGGGAUAGCUCGGGGAAACUCGAAUUAAUACCGCAUACGACCUACGGGAGAAAGGGGGCAACUUGUUGCUCUCGCUAUUAGAUGAGCCUAAGUCGGAUUAGCUAGAUGGUGGGGUAAAGGCCUACCAUGGCGACGAUCUGUAGCUGGUCUGAGAGGAUGAUCAGCCACACCGGGACUGAGACACGGCCCGGACUCCUACGGGAGGCAGCAGUGGGGAAUAUUGGACAAUGGGGGCAACCCUGAUCCAGCCAUGCCGCGUGUGUGAAGAAGGCCUUUUGGUUGUAAAGCACUUUAAGCAGUGAAGAAGACUCCAUGGUUAAUACCCAUGGACGAUGACAUUAGCUGCAGAAUAAGCACCGACUAACUCUGUGCCAGCAGCCGCGGUAAUACAGAGGGUGCAAGCGUUAAUCGGAAUUACUGGGCGUAAAGCGAGCGUAGGUGGCUUGAUAAGUCAGAUGUGAAAGCCCCGGGCUUAACCUGGGAACGGCAUCUGAUACUGUUAGGCUAGAGUAGGUGAGAGGAAGGUAGAAUUCCAGGUGUAGCGGUGAAAUGCGUAGAGAUCUGGAGGAAUACCGAUGGCGAAGGCAGCCUUCUGGCAUCAUACUGACACUGAGGUUCGAAAGCGUGGGUAGCAAACAGGAUUAGAUACCCUGGUAGUCCACGCCGUAAACGAUGUCUACUAGUCGUUGGGUCCCUUGAGGACUUAGUGACGCAGCUAACGCAAUAAGUAGACCGCCUGGGGAGUACGGCCGCAAGGUUAAAA